CAGGCCUAACACAUGCAAGUCGAACGGUAGCACAGAGAGCUUGCUCUCGGGUGACGAGUGGCGGACGGGUGAGUAAUGUCUGGGAAACUGCCCGAUGGAGGGGGAUAACUACUGGAAACGGUAGCUAAUACCGCAUAACGUCGCAAGACCAAAGUGGGGGACCUUCGGGCCUCACACCAUCGGAUGUGCCCAGAUGGGAUUAGCUAGUAGGUGGGGUAAUGGCUCACCUAGGCGACGAUCCCUAGCUGGUCUGAGAGGAUGACCAGCCACACUGGAACUGAGACACGGUCCAGACUCCUACGGGAGGCAGCAGUGGGGAAUAUUGCACAAUGGGCGCAAGCCUGAUGCAGCCAUGCCGCGUGUAUGAAGAAGGCCUUCGGGUUGUAAAGUACUUUCAGCGGGGAGGAAGGCGGUGAAGUUAAUAGCUUCACCGAUUGACGUUUUCCGCAGAAGAAGCACCGUCUAACUUGGUGCCAGCAGCCGCG
rnacentral:rRNA from 1 species